UACGAAGGGGGCUAGCGUUGCUCGGAGUUACUGGGCGUAAAGGGCGCGUAGGCGGAUGUUUAAGUCGGGGGUGAAAGCCCGGGGCUCAACCUCGGAAUUGCCUUCGAUACUGGACAUCUUGAGUACGGGAGAGGUGAGUGGAACUCCGAGUGUAGAGGUGAAAUUCGUAGAUAUUCGGAAGAACACCAGUGGCGAAGGCGACUCACUGGCCCGUUACUGACGCUGAGGCGCGAAAGCGUGGGGAGCAAACAGG
rnacentral:rRNA from 1 species